rnacentral:rRNA from 1 species
GACGAACGCUGGCGGCGUGCUUAACACAUGCAAGUCGAACGGAAAGGCCCUGCUUUUGUGGGGUGCUCGAGUGGCGAACGGGUGAGUAACACGUGAGUAACCUGCCCUUGACUUUGGGAUAACUUCAGGAAACUGGGGCUAAUACCGGAUAGGAGCUCCUGCUGCAUGGUGGGGGUUGGAAAGUUUCGGCGGUUGGGGAUGGACUCGCGGCUUAUCAGCUUGUUGGUAGGGUAGUGGCUUACCAAGGCUUUGACGGGUAGCCGGCCUGAGAGGGUGACCGGCCACAUUGGGACUGAGAUACGGCCCAGACUCCUACGGGAGGCAGCAGUGGGGAAUAGUGCACAAUGGGCGGAAGCCUGAUGCAGCAACGCCGCGUGCGGGAUGACGGCCUUCGGGUUGUAAACCGCUUUCGCCUGUGACGAAGCGUGAGUGACGGUAAUGGGUAAAGAAGCACCGGCUAACUACGUG